ACUGUGGCGCCUCUCCUCCCCAAUCCCCUUUCUGCCCAACCUCCAGCCCCUCCCUGGCCCAAUCCCUCGUCGCCGUCGCCGUCGCAGGGCUGCCCGGCGGAAGCAGCGCCGCCUCGUCAUCUCAUCCCCUCCCGUGCUCCUCCCCAAUCCCUGCCCUCCACUCCAUCUCAGGUGAGCCGCCGUCGGCCGCGUCCGCUCGACAUGGGGAGCAGGCAUGGAAGAUGCAGACCGAUGAGGGUGUUCUGCCUCCAGCUCAGCUCCGGUUUGGCCGGAAGGACAACGGCCAGCAGCGCAAGGACCUGGCCUCCUCCGCGUUAGCACACUGGCCGGCCCUCUUCUUCUUUUUCUAAAGAUCUACACGAUCCGUUUUUACUUGUGCCUGUAAAGUGUUUGAUGAAAAUCCUAGCCAAGAUUAAUGUAUGCAAUAUCUAUGCUCCAUCUAGCUGUUUGCAGUUUUGCAAUUAAGGUCUUAAAAAGUGCUCAACUACCAAUAUUGGAAAGGGAGGAGGAUACGGGCUGGGCAAGGAUUUGGGGUAGCUAACUGUCAGUGCAGUUACACAUAAGAAACCUGCAGAAGUUGCUACUCGAUGGAGUGAAAUUGGCAGGGCAGGGAUUUGGGGGAGCAAACUCCUUUUUUAUCCCGCAGAUAAAUGUAUAAGGCGGUAAGAUGUUGGUGGCUUGCUGGAUAAGAGGCGGGAGCGACAAGCUUUGCGUUUCUGCUCAUCUGUGCAAAGUGCAUAUUAGGCAGCGAGACGUUGGUGAUGAAGACGGCGGUGGAGGAGUUGGGCCGGUCGUCGUCGUCUCCCAAGCCACUACUCCCUACUCCAUCAUUUGCUCGACCCUCACACUUUAAUAUCAUGCCCGGCCACGAGGAGGUCAUACCACAAGAUUUUUGCUACGCCCGUGCCUUGCUCAACCGUGUAGAGGUUGCGCCUCCGCUGCUUUUUCGGCAACUCACUUGUGUGGACAUAAAAAUGCAGAAAGUAUGCAUAGGGACGAAGGUCAAGUAAAUAGCACAGUGGAACUUAACUGGAGUUUUGAUAAAUAGCACGAUAAGCCAUGGACAUGCUACCGCGUUCCCUUUAUUAUUUUGAUGGACUCAGAUUGGUGAUGAAACUGAGAGAGUUGUAAUUCUGUGUGUGAAUAGCUGGGUGGACUUGCCUGCGGAUCUAUCCAAAGUUCAUGGACUCAAGCGCUACUUGCCGCAAUAGGUUGAGAGAAAUUGCAUACUGUUCGCAUGUCUCAAGAGAACAUACAAAAUUCGGUCGAUGUUUGAUUUGGUCGAUGUCGAUGUUCAUCAUUUCAGGGCCAUAUGUACUCUCAAGUUUCAACUCCUACUUCUUCAUCAUCAUAGAUGGCUCAUUGUUUAAAAAAUAAGAAUAUACAGCUACAAUUAAGUUGAGAGAAUGCCAACCUGUUUCAGGAAUAGCUUUUUCUCCUGAACUCAACUUCCGGGUGGGGGUGGAGGAAUUCAGUAGCCUUUAUUUGGGAAGUUGGGGCACAAUCUAUAACGGAUAUUAGUUUUAUAUCUUUUGCAGUCAUUUACGAAGUUGGCGAACAAGUUGUUGUCCUUUUUACAAAGGAAGAGAUGCAACACUCCACUACUACCUACUAUAUCCAGGAUGAGCAACCUCUAGAGAUACCGUGUGACAAGACCAGGUUCUCUACCUCCAGCCUGUUUAGCUGGCUACACUUCAAUGUCAGGCACAUCUAUCUUUUUAGAUCAUCGAACUCUGUAAUCUCCCGAGUUGUUUAAAUAUGUUUACCUUGUCAUCUUUUGAAAGAAAAAAUGCAUGCUUUCAUCUCACUGGUAUUUCUCCUUGGCUAUUUGUUUAUGACAUUCAUAUCAUUUCUCAACUAGGUUUCCCCUGACAUAUGUGUUGCUACAAGAUCUUCUUCAAUUAUCAAACAACCUGGUCUUAGGUACUUACGCAGCCAACCCAUCAUUCAGAAGAAUUUACUGUAUUGAUGUCUUUCAGGUAAAUUCAUCUGCUACGUUUCUAUUGAUGUAUCCAUACCCUUACACAGUACCAAAGGCAUUUCCCUGUGUAAGAGUUUGUUUGUCAUCUUAGGUAGGGAGGCAAUGAUCAGGUAGUCACUCUCAUAAAACGACAUGUAGGUGACCGGCAAAAAGAAUUUGCCCUAUCUGAAGCAUUAUAUUCUCUUAUAGACCUUACCAAAAAAAUUGUCUCUUUGUAGGUUUAUAUCGACCAUGAAUUUAGUUCUCAUUUUCUUUAUUUUUUUCAUUUUUGACUGAAAGUUUGUUAUAUAGGUGCUUCUGACGUUACUUUUUUUAGAACAUGAAAGAAGGUAGAGGACACCUCUGCCUUAUGGUUACAAGACUAUAGAAUAGAGAGAGGGUAAGGGGAAUCUAGAACUCGGACGCAACCAGGGAAUUGCUGUUAAAUGCCAUGUCGUUUCUUAGCUUUGUAGGUUUAUAUCAACCAGGGAAUCUAGAAGGUGAGUUCUAAGCUUGUUGUUAAAUGCCGUGUCGUUUCUUAGCUUCCAAGGUCCCAGCAAGCAAGCCGAGAGGUAGAUGAAACAAGUUUCAGAGUUCGCGUUGUGACUCGUCUGCCAAUUUGGUAAUUAUGCUAGAAGCAGCUGCUUGCUCUGUUAGGCCAACCUUGUCUCACAGCCAGCUAGAAUAUUUGCAGCGAAGACCUAGAUGAUGGAUCAAUUCCACUGCUGGGCCAACCAUUGUCUGAACACCAAGCGUUGGAGACCAUGUUGUCCCUAGCGUUGAGUUGCCCCUAAUAGACUAACCAGAGAAAGAUUUUGUGUCUAUGUGGGUAUUUUCUUUACCCCAAACCCAUCGAUAUGGUCACCACCUCUUGUGUUGUCGUUUAGAACUCUGUAGAGAUCAGCCAUUGUAGUAUUUUUUUGCCAGGUAUAAGCAAUGUCCUGCUAUCAUUGCUGGUGUCAUUAUGUGGGGUAAUGUCACGUAUGUAUGUAAAAAAGCAAAUCUGCAUGAACCUGCGUUGUGUGAGAUAGAUGCAUUAAAAGUUGAAUUGUCCGUUGGGUGCUGUUGAACUGCAAGAAAACUGUGCAUUGUUGGUCAGUAGCAAACGUAUAAAGAACCGGGAGUGUGCAGUUCAGUAUUCCAAGUGGGCACUAAUAUUCAGUCCAAAAGACACCAAAUUGUUGGAGCCAAUUUGACAUUUUGUUAGGCCUUGCACACCUGGUAGCAUUGUCAUUAGGGAACCCCACAAUGGUGAGUCGUGUGUGCCACGCUCAGGAGUGUCUGUUUUCGGUCCACUUUUUCUCAUUUUAAUUUUGCACAUCUAAAAUUCAUCUUUUAAUGUCAGUAUAUAUGUUCGAAACUUUUUCUGAUAAAAUUCAUAAAAGUACUCAUAUAUCGAUGAUAUAUCAUAUGAUUCCCUAUUAAGUUUCUUUACUUUAAUCUUGGCAUUCAUGCAUUCAAGAAUCUUCUUUUAACAAUUGCAAGCUCUCAUUUCAGUUUACCCUUUCGCUAGCCUGUUUUUGGAUAGUGCAUGCAAUUUUUGUUUUUCAGAUAUGUAAAGUCCGGCCAAUGUUGGGUGAAGAUUAGUCUCUCCAACUUCUAUGCAUGAUCCACAAAAGCUAUACUGACAGUAUAAAAAUGGAUUUGAUGUCAUGCAUGGAAGCCCAUAGCAAUGUCAAUCCUUAGAUUACCGAUCAAGGCAUGCACAGUUAGAGAUCUGAUUCUGUUAGCGACACAUUAUAUUGUCCUUGGUUACAUAUACUCUAAUAAUUGUGUUAGUAUUUAGUUGCUGAACUAUUUCUGGUGAUGCACUAUUUACUGCUGAUAGGUGCAACCUACCGGUUUAUAAAUCAUAAGUAUGUUGUGAACAUGCCUUUUUGCAUACAUAAUGUCAUGUGGUUUUAUAGUA